CUGACCUCAGAAGGGAUAUCAUAAGAAGAGUCGGAGUGACCUAUCGCCGUUACCCUCCGACUGUCGUUAUUGUCGCUACGUUCUUUAUCUUUUCAAUUCAAAAAACAACAUGUGGAGAAUAGGAGAUAUACUUCAAUAAUGAUUAUAUAAGUGAUAAAGAUCGGUUCAACUGAAUAAAAUACCUCUAGCUCAACCUCAACAUGAAAAAUAACAUAGUGAACAACCUUUUUCCAAUCGACAAGAAAGACACGAGGUGCGGGAAAGUACUACUACACAAGCCAUAUUUAAAUCAAGGAAACAAACUUCACCAAUAUGGAGUGAAAUCAACUCAACUAUAAUGGGAAUAGUACCAUGAUGAACAUUAUACUUCUCUCGGUAAACAAGAAGGAUAAGGAAUAUGAGAAAAUAUUUCAAUGUGAACUAUUCAUGAGAAGAAGUAAGGUUAAUUAUUUUGGAACACCCUCGAUAAAUGUUUACCGGAAGACCUUUCAAAUGAUAACCAAAUGGAAUAUGGAAGCAUGGAGAGUUAUUUUAUACAAGUCAUAUAGGAAGUAGAGAUUAGCUCGUUCAUUCUUGGAUAUGAUCGACACAAGUCAACGGGAUAAUGUUUCAAAAAAACGCAUUUGAAUUUUAGUCAUGCUAAGAAAAGAAGAGAAAAGCCCUACAUACCUUAAUGAUGAAGUUAUAUAGGUUUCCCGAGUCCUCGAAUGCUUUACGAACGAUCACCUACAUCACACAACCAAUUUGGGAUCAAUUCCAAGUUCAUAGCUUAUGGAAAUAAUCAUUGAGGCAUUUCGUCGAACAACUUGCGGGCGUAAAUUCGUAGGGUCAUUUGUAGUUUAAUUUCUUCACUCAAGACUACCAUUUUUCUUCUCCUUUACUCCUACUCUUCCUUAUCAAUCCAUACAUAACUUCAUAGCUCCAAAUAAUACAUUUAAACCACAAGAAAUAGCCUAAACAAUCAAGUUCCUCCAUAAGAGUUCAUAGAAAUUCAUAAGGACUUGUUCUAGCGAAUUCUCCUUCCAAUUUCUAUGUAAAACACUUGUAGUAUCUUAGGAGGUUAAUUAAGAUGAGGAAACAUACAUUAAUUGAUUAAUACAUUAAUUGAUUAAGAACACUCCAAAACAAAUAUUACUUCAAGUCGAAGAAUUCUCCCGAGAAGCAAUAUAGCGAGAAAAUUACGAUUCUAUGAUUGCCACGUUGUUCCUUGCAUUAGAGUUGAUUGAUUUGCACUUGGAUUGGUUAGGAUUCAUGGAGGAUUUGUUUGGAGAGUAUAUUGGGGUUUCCUUGGUCUUUGAAGAUGAAGAAAUGGGGAAACAAUCAUGGAAAAAGUGAUAUAUAUAUAUAUAUACUCUGACAUCAUAUCGAUGAACAAUAAAAUGCACUGGAAACUAGACUUCUAGACCUUCAAUCUGAUAGAUGGAUCACUCCGUAACUCUAAGUAGAUUGAGAGAAAAGCUCCGAGACAUCUGACUCAAAUUUCAAUGAAAUUUACAAACUUAACUUGCGACGCCCUUUGUUGGCUUUCGUAUUACAACUCGUUUGACUUCCAAACUUAACAAGCGACCAUUAUAUGAUUCAAAUACUUCAUAUCAUUACUUGCUUAGCAUGUGAAGCACUUCUAAUCUCACCCAAAAGUACAAGUUAUCGUAUUCUCAACUUGUUGACUUUUGACGAAACUCAUCCUUCUUUGAUUCAUUCACCCUCCAAACCUUCCGCCACUUACUAAUAUUAUUUAUAGACUCUUAUAACCAUUUAUAUUAAUAAGUUCAAUCCCUUUUAACCUCAAGAUAAUUUGUUUUGAACUUGCAUCAACAAACUCAUGAUGCAACUUGAACGUGCGAAAAUCCGAGGUGUAACAUUGUGUAAGAGGACCAAAAGAAUGAUUCUGGAGAAGCUUGAUGGUAGUUUUAAUGAUGAAUAUAACAAGCUUGUGGCUUAUGCCAAUGAACUGAAGUUGAGUAAUCCUGGAAGUGAUGUGAUAAUUAACUUUUCAAAUGAUGCUUUUGCUGAAGGAAAAAGAACGUUUUUAAGGAUUUAUAUUUGCCUUGAUGCAAUGAAAAGGGGUUUAAGAGUGGGCUGAGACCUUUUAUAGGCUUAGAUGAGACUUUUUUGAAAGGAAAGGCUAAAGUUUAGCUGUUAGUGACAGUUUCUCAAAACUCCACAAACCACUUUUAUCCAUUAGUUUGGGUUGUUGUGGAUAAAGAAACAAAAGUGUUUUGGAACUAGGUCUUAAAUCAGCUACAAAUGUCAUUGGACCUUGGAAUGGGUGAAGGAGUUACUCUUAUAUCACAUAUGCAGAAGGGGUUGAUUUAUUCAAUCCAGAAAGUUCUUCCUGAGGCCCACUUCAGAUUCUAUGUUAAACACAUAGAAGAAAAUUGGUGCAAGAAAUAUGAGUUUGGGGAGUACAAGAAGUAUCUUUGGUGGGCUGCAUGGAGUUCAUAUGAAGAGGAUUACUAAGAUCCACUAGAUAGUAUGAAGCUAGUGGAUGAUGAUGGUCCGGUUGUUGUUGAUGAUCUUUUGAAUUAUCCACCAGAAAAAUGAAAUAUGUCAUUCUUUGAUAUUAUUUGCAAGAACCAGUCAGUGGACAAUAACCUGAUUGAGUCCUUCAAUGGAUGGAUAUUAGAAGCUAGACACAAGACAAUUAUAAAGAUGUUUGAGGAUAUUAGAAUUAUGGUGAUGAACAUGUUGCAUGAAAAUGAAGCUGCUGCUAUUGGUUGGGAUAUGGAGUACAAUCCAAAGACUAUGCUUUUAUAUAACCAGUUCAUGAGAAUUGCACAAUAAAUGUCAUGUCAAUGGAAGUGAAAACUAUGGGUUUGAGGUGACUGAAGAUGGUGACAUAUAUAUUGUGAAUUUAGGGUUAAGGAGAUGCCCUUGCAAGACAUGAGGCCUUUGUGGAAUCCCAUGUCCUCAUGCAACCUGUGCCCUGCUGUACAGAAGCUUGAACCUCUAGAUUGGAUGCAUUGGUAUUUUUCCAAAGAAGCAUAUCUCCUAACUUAUUCUCAUAAGUUACAGUCAGUUAAAGGAGAAAUAUUAUGGAAAAUACACACCUCACAAUACAUGGAGCACCAAAUAUAGUAAGAAUUGCUGGAAGGCCAAAGGUUAAGAGGACAAGAGAAAAAAAUGAAGUUGUUAGUAUGCAAGGACAAUGGUCUCAAACAAGAGAAAGAAGGGUUAUGAGUACUACUUGUGGAGAACCUGAACAUAAUGCUAGGGGAUGUGACAAGCAUUCUAAAAGAAAGAAGCCUACUGGCAAAACAAAGUGCAUGCCAAGAAAGAAGAAAAGAAGUUUUAUUGAUGAGCCUGCUAAUGAUGAACAGACCCCAACCGGUACAGAUCUGGGGCAGUGCAGUUCACAACUCAACUUUUUUCCAGCAGAUCCAAGAGGUGUCUAGCCUCAAUGGCAAUUACUUCUUCUUUCAAUUUGUCCCAUUCUAUCUUAACCGCGACGUCAUUAAAUCUUGAACAUUAGUCCAAUCGCUUUCCGGGAAUAAAGCAUCUUUCCAUUCCCAAAAUCCACAUGAGCUGGCCUAUCCAAACAAUACAACUUAGUUGAACAUUAUGAAGCUAAUAGUGUAGAUUCAAGUAAUGAUAAAGUUUGAAUGAAAAUUGUGAAACACAAAAUUUAAACUA